rnacentral:lncRNA from 1 species
UUCCUUCCACACUGCGGCUUCUGCGUUCUUCUUCCACACUGCGGCUCUGUGGCUUCUGCGUUUCUUCUACACUAGGGCUUCCACAUUUCUUCUUCCACACGACGGAUUCCGCGUUUCUUCUUCCACAUUAUGGUUCCCGCGUUUCUUCUUUCACACUACGAUUUUUGCGUGCUAAGCUUCUUCUUCCAUACUACGAUGCUGAAGCUUCUCCUUCCAUCCUACGGUAACCCUUCCGCUUGUUUGGUUCAAUCUGAUGCAUUUCUCAUUUCCUUCGAAACUUGUUUUGUUCUGAAUUUUGAGUUUCCCAUUUUUUUUUCCUUUUUUUAAUUCCUAAAUACUUAUUUUUCCUUUGCACAGUGAUCAUGUUGCCUAUAUUUUUUAAUUCAUUUUUGAAUUCUCUGCUUGUUUAUGUAUUCCGCAUACAUAGCCAAAUGAUACAAUAGAGCCAUCUGAUAUAUAUAUAUAUAUAUAUAUAUAUAUAUAUAUGUGGGAGAGUCUUCAAAUUAGACAAUUGUUACCCUGUCACGACUAACUAUAACAACAAAUUAUUGCUAGAUAAGUAUACAUGUUGAUUUAAGUAGAAGUUGUUUUUAAAAUUUUAUAAUAAAUUAAUUAGCAUGCUAGUAAGUGAAUGAGUUAGAUGUGUGUGAAAUUGUGAAAUUUCUUAUGAGGUAUAAUUGCAGGAUGAGGUAAUAGUAAGUUCCUAGAUAAUCAAGAAUACGUGAAUCUGAGUUGUAUAUAUAGAUGCUUGUGUUAGUAAAAAAAAAAAAGGAUUGAUAAUCAAUGUCACAGUUCUAAGAACAAUAUUUAUAUUUAUAUUCCAUGAAGAACGAUGACUUUCUUUUUGUAGGUGAGAUUGCUAGUGCAUAGUGCUCUGAAGGUUUCUCAACUUGUGAUUCUAGUUUCACUAUCUCCUUGGCUGGUUCACUUAUACCAGUUUGCUCUGAAGGUUUUUUAGCUUCUGAUUUAUUACUCAUGAUUUAUAUGAACUCCUAUUUAUUCUUGUUAUGUUAGUCUUUUAAUAACUUCCAACAAAUACUUCCUUGCCAAGUUUUCAAUUAUCCAGGGAGUAUUUCCUUUCUUUCUCUCAUGUUUUGUUCUGUUCAGGAAGGAUUUAUUACUCAUUCAGGUUUAAUAUAGUCUCUGCCUUUGUCUCUCUCUAUUCUAAUAAACGCAUGCACUAAUAAGUAAUCUUUGACUUUCAGGAUCUUGUUUUGCUGCAACAUUUCUCUAGAAAUGUUGAGAGGAAGCUCCUCAUAAUCCACAAUACCCUUAACAAAGCUGAGAUACUCUGGAAUCAACUCUUCACAGUUGUCCAUGAUGAAGACUCUGCGUACAUACAAUUUAGAAUUUUUGGAUUAACAUGCUUUUUAAUAAUGUGGAUUAACAUGCAUUUUUUCAGCUUCUAAUGUUGUUUAAUUAGUUUUUCUAGCUUUAGCACUUUGUCUGUUUAGCAUUCAUUGGAAGAUUUUAUUUAGUCUCUAACCUAAAGUUUCAUUUAGCAUAAGCAUGACAUUAUACACCUUUGCUAAUCCAGGUUGGUGACUUUGAUUGUUUCCUCUCUAUUCUGACUAUAUUGUUUCGCACUUGCCUUCCAUUAAACACCCCUCAUUACAGGUUCAUACUAUUAUCCCUCUUUAAUAAUAAAAUCUUACAUGUGGAAGUGGUUAAUUAUUUUAUAAUUUUUUCUUCUGAUAGGCCUAAAAAAUGGAAUGGAAGAAGUAUUAAUAUGGGUGCAGUUUUUGUUGAUAUAAAUUAUAUUUCUUACAUUUCAUAAAUUUAUUG